rnacentral:rRNA from 1 species
AUUGAACGCUGGCGGCAGGCUUAACACAUGCAAGUCGAACGAGUGGCGGACGGGUGUGUAAUGCUUGGGAAUCUAGCUUAUGGAGGGGGAUAACUACGGGAAACUGUAGCUAAUACCGCGUACCAUCGGAUGCGCCCAAGGGGGAUUAGGUAGUUGGUGGGGUAAAGGCUCACCAAGCCGACGAUCUCUAGCUGGUCUGAGAGGGUGACCCGCCACAGUGAGACUGAGACACGGCCCAGUCUCCGAGGAGAGGCAGCAGUGGGGAAUAUUGCGAGAGGGGGACAACCAGACGCAGCCAUGCCGCGUGAAUGAAGAAGGCCUUCGGGUUGAAAAGUUCUUUCGGGAGAAGGGCGUUAACUACAGAAGAAGCACCGGCUAACUCCGGGCCAGCAGCCGCGGUAUAC